CCUACGGGAGGCUGCAGUGGGGAAUAUUGCACAAUGGGGGAAACCCUGAUGCAGCGACGCCGCGUGAGUGAAGAAGUAUUUCUGUACGUAAACCUCUAUCAGCAGGGAAGAAAAUGACGGUACCUGACUAUGAAGCCCCGGCUAACUACGUGCCAGCAGCCGCGGUAAUACGUAGGGGGCAAGCGUUAUCCGGGUUUACUGGGUGGAAAGGGAGCGUAGGCGGCAGCGGAAGUCUGAAGUGAAAUCCAAUGGCUUAACCAUGGAACUGCUUUGGAAACUGUGCAGCUAGAGUGCAGGAGGGGUAAGCGGAAUUCCUAGUGUAGCGGUGAAAUGCGUAGAUAUUAGGAGGAACACCAGUGGCGAAGGCGGCUUACUGGACUGUAACUGACGUUGAGGCUCGAAAGCGUGGGGAGCAAACAGGAUUAGAUACCCUUGUAGUC
rnacentral:rRNA from 1 species